GGGCAUACGAUACAGUUACAGGGGAGGUAAUGACGUUGCUAACGUAAAAUGUUAUUUUUGCGACGUAAACUAUGACAUAUCGGGAAAAGAUGCAUUUUUCGACUGAUUUUUAUCGUUCAAACUGAUUUAAUUUGAAAACGAGUGCAUGGACCCCUAUUUUUUAAAACGACAUUUUGUUUCAUUUUGCAGGGAGAUUAUGUGGACCAAAUUUUAUAAAACUGUAAAUAGUGCAUUUUUUUUUAAUUUUGAUAAAUAUACGGCACAAAAUUACGUUUUUUUUCUCAAUUCAUGAAAAUUUGAUAAAU
rnacentral:lncRNA from 1 species